rnacentral:rRNA from 1 species
AACGCGAAGAACCUUACCUGGGCUUGAACUGCUAGAAGUAGCCUUUAUGAAAGUAGAGGCGGACCGUUAAGUCGGUGACUAGCAGAGGUGCUGCAUGGCUGUCGUCAGCUCGUGUCGUGAGAUGUUGGGUUAAGUCCCGCAACGAGCGCAACCCUUACCCUAUGUUGCCACGUCUGUAAUGGACAGCACUCUUAGGGAACUGCCUCGGACAACGGGGAGGAAGGUGGGGAUGACGUCAAGUCACCAUGGCCUUUAUGUCCAGGGCUACACACGUGCUACAAUGGCCGGUACAGCGAGCAGCAAAUCCGCAAGGAGGAGCAAAUCUCUAAAAGCCGGCCCCAGUUCAGAUAGUGGGCUGCAAUUCGCCCACUUGAAGGUGGAAUCGCUAGUAAUCGGGGAUCAGCUGGCCCCGGUGAAUACGUUCCCGGGCCUUGUACACACCGACUGUAC